ACACAACUGUCGAGUUCAACAUAUUAGACACAGUUUGUUUGUGUUCAUUGUACGUGACUAUUCAUCGCAACAGCAGUAGCCAUUCACAUUGAUAGCAGCAACUAGAAACACCAACAGCGACAUCUAGGACUACUAGUACUUGGAAUCAAGCGACGUUCACACAGUGCUUUUGUUGUAUUUGAAAGCUUUUUAUCUGAACAAUUGUUCUCAUGUUCAAGGCGCCAACUGAAGUGUUCAAAAUUAUCUGUUUUCGUCUGGCACCUGCUACACUACGACCGCACUUUAUAGUCUACAGAUUUUUCAAUGGCCAGAGAAACACCGUUUUAUAAACAUCAAUACAUCCACGUCAAACAAUCACUGUAUCAUUAAACAAUAAAGACAUCCCAUUCAUUUGCCUUUCACAUUUAUAGAAACCCAAUAAAGUUGUGUUGUUAUCAAAGACA
rnacentral:lncRNA from 1 species